CCUUCGGGAGGCAGCAGUGAGGAAUAUUGGUCAAUGGGCGCGAGCCUGAACCAGCCACGUCGCGUGAGGGAAGACGGUCCUAUGGAUUGUAAACCUCUUUUGUCGGGGAGCAAAAGACGCCACGCGUGGCGUUCCGAGAGUACCCGAAGAAAAAGCAUCGGCUAACUCCGUGCCAGCAGCCGCGGUAAUACGGAGGAUGCGAGGGUUAUCCGGUUUUAUUGGGGUUAAAGGGUGCGCAGGCGGAAGAUCAAGUCAUAGGGAAAGUUCAGGGGCUCAACCUCGUCGAGCCGUUGAAACUGUUGUUCUUGAGUGAGUGAGAAGUAUGCGGAAUGCGUGGUGUAGCGGUGAAAUGCAUAGAUAUCACGCAGAACUCCGAUUGCGAAGGCAGCAUACCGGCGCUCAACUGACGCUGAUGCACGAAAGUGUGGGUAUCGAACAGGAUUAGAUACCCUUGUAGUC
rnacentral:rRNA from 1 species